rnacentral:pre_miRNA from 1 species
UUAACUCUAAUUUGUAUGGAAUUGGAACGUUUGCCUACGUUUGCCGCUAGGGGCGCUGUUCCAACUCCAUACAAAAUUGAGUUA